GUGUUGUAUGAAAGGAGAGAAGGUUAGCACUCCUUUGACAAGAUUGAAGGGGCUCUUGGGCCUGACAAUACAUAUAUGUUAAGGCAUUGCCUCCUACUUUGUGGCAUCUAACCACUGUUACUG
rnacentral:ncRNA from 1 species